rnacentral:rRNA from 1 species
UACGAAGGGUGCUAGCGUUGUUCGGAAUCACUGGGCGUAAAGCGCGCGUAGGCGGUGCUGCAAGUCAGGGGUGAAAUCCUGGAGCUUAACUCCAGAAUUGCCUUUGAAACUGCAGUGCUAGAGUGUCGGAGGGGAUGGCGGAAUUGCUAAUGUAGAGGUGAAAUUCGUAGAUAUUAGCAGGAACACCGGUGGCGAAGGCGGCCAUCUGGACGACAACUGACGCUGAGGCGCGAAAGCGUGGGGAUCAAACAGG